rnacentral:lncRNA from 1 species
UGUAACAAUGGCGAGAGGGAGAGGCAGAGGUCGAGGAAGGCCCCGUAAGAUACCACUAGCAACAAUUGAGAAACUGAUAACAACAAUCAAGCAACCGGCGUUGGAGAAAGUAGUAGCCAUGACCCCUCGUGUGCAGCACAGAUACCACUAGCAACAAUUGAGAAACUGAUAACAACAAUCAAGCAACCGGCGUUGGAGAAAGUAGUAGCCAUGACCCCUCAUGUGCAAUACUUCGAUUCACCAGUUGUAGAGGAG